rnacentral:rRNA from 1 species
AAUAUUGGAUAAUGGGCGAAAGCCUGAUCCAGCCAUGCCGCGUGUGUGAAGGAGGUCUUCGGAUUGUAAAGCACUUUCAGUUGGGAGGAAGGGAAGUAAGUUAAUACCUUGCUGUUUUGACGUUACCGACAGAAUAAGCACCGGCGAACUUCGUGCCAGCAGCCGCGGUAAUACGAAGGGUGCAAGCGUUAAUCGGAAUUACUGGGCGUAAAGCGGGCGUAGGUGGUUCGUUAAGUUGGAUGUGGAAGCCCCGGGGUCAACCUGGGAACUGCAUCCAAAACUGGCGAGCUAGAGUACGGUAGAGGGUGGUGGAAUUUCCUGUGUAGCGGUGAAAUGCGGAGAUAUUGGAGGGAACACCAGUGGCGAAGGCGACCACCUGGACUGAUACUAACACUGAGGUGCGAAAACAUGGGGAGCAAACAAG